rnacentral:rRNA from 1 species
CCCCUUUCUUUGAUACUUUUUCAUCAAGAAAUGGAUUUUGGACUUGGGGGGAUUAAUGCUCACUCUCACUUAUUGAAGGUGGGCUCCUCUUAAAUGAAUUAGUGGGGUUCACUUUGCUGAUCCUUGACGUGAUAAGAUGUUUUAUUUUACGUUUUUGAUUUAGCAUUGCCUCUCCAACUGUCUUAUGGACAAUGAUGGUGUUCUGGUCACCACUGCCCAUGUUGGUGGAUGGCUGGACCCACAAGAAAACCUUGACCUCAAAUCGGGUGAGACUACCCGCUGAACUUAAGCAUAUCAAUAAGCGGAGGAAAAGAAACUAACAAGGAUUCCCCUAGUAACUGCGAGUGAAGCGGGAAAAGCUCAAAUUUAAAAUCUGGUGGUCUUUGGCCAUCCGAGUUGUAAUUUAGAGAAGUGUCUUCCGCGCUGGACCGUGCACAAGUCUCCUGGAAUGGAGCAUUAUAGAGGGUGAGAAUCCCGUCUUUGGCAUGGACACACCAGGGCUUUUGUGAUGCGCUCUCGAAGAGUCGAGUUGUUUGGGAAUGCAGCUCAAAAUGGGUGGUGAACUCCAUCUAAAGCUAAAUAUUGGCGAGAGACCGAUAGCGAACAAGUACCGUGAGGGAAAGAUGAAAAGCACUUUGGAAAGAGAGUGAAACAGUACGUGAAAUUGUUGAAAGGGAAACGCUUGAAGUCAGUCGCGUUGGCCAAGACUCGGCCUUGCCCCAUGGCUUGGUGUACUUCUUGGCCAACGGGUCAACAUCAAUUUUGCCCCUUGGAUAAUGAUGAGGGAAAUGUGACACCUUUACGGGUGUGUUAUAGUCUCUUGUCGCAUGCAAGGGUCAGGGUUGAGGAACUCAGCAUGCACCCUUUGGGUGUCGGGACUUUGUCCACGAUACAUGCU